UUGGUAUGGUCUCAUUCCAUGGCAAGUAUAAUAAAUUAUUUAAUGGCUACAGAAUAGAGAGAAUGGGGGAUUACACUCUUAUAUUUUUUUUAGUGGACAAAUCUUAAUGAAUAGAAAUCUAAAUUUACAAUUAUAUGCUUCACUUUUGUCCCACUACUUGAAAAUUAGCUAAAAACGUGUACUUUGAAGACUUAAUAUCUUUAUUCAACUUUAAUAAAUCAAAAUUUAAUAAACGUCUCUUUUUGAGCUAUUUUUUCUUGUUGGUUUCAGUUCUUUCAAUAAAAUUUUCCAACUUUUGACUUGUGUUAAGGGUUUGACACUGCUGUUGAGGAAGCACAACGAGCCAUUAAUUCAGCUUACAUCGAGUGGCAUUUAAAUCUUGGGAGGAUCAUAGAAAACAACUUGAAUUGGAGAAGGCUCGUAAAUCUGGGCUUGGACCAACAGAGGUUGAUGAAGAUGGCAAAGAGAUUAACUUUCAUAUUCCUCUAUAUGUCAUUUUUGAGAACCGAUGCUGAACAGAGAGAAGUAGAUACCUGGCACUUCAUGUAUACAGCCCCUUGGCUGGGUUUACUUCCCAGUGCUGAUGGGCAAGUAUUACAUUCUCAAGAUGGUGGAGAUAGUCCAAUUCUCAGUCUCUUUAAAUUAGUCACUGCUGCAAUAUUAUCUAAGCCAGGGAAAUCAAAUCCUUGUUUCCUGCCGAUUGCAGUCCAUUCUAAGCUGGUUUAUGAAAUAGAGAUACAGAUGAAGUUAGCUACCUUAAGGUCAAAAUUCCACUAGGAAAAAAUUACUAUGCCUGAAAAUGAGCAAAGUCAGAACUGAAAGAGCUUCUUCAGAGCUUUGGAAGGUUGCUGGUUUAGCUAUUGUUUGUGUUAUAUGUUUCACCUCUAAUGCUUUUGCAGGCAGCAAGAGCAGCUGAUUAUAGUAUUGGGAGUAAGUUGCUGAUACCUAAACCCCUCCUCUCACUUUUUGGAAACUUGACAGAACGAACAGGGUAGAGUGAUUUCUUUGGAGCAAUUCUUGACAACAUUUGUAGUUGAGGCCUUUAGAUUGGAAGAAUGUAUUUCACUAAUUUUUGUAUACAAUUCUUGUUUUGUAUUUAGUGAUAAAGGAAUCUGAAUUGGGCAUAAAUUAUGUUGUAAUAUGAUUUCUUAAGCCUAGACUAGUAGACUGAAUAUUGUAAUUACAUU